rnacentral:lncRNA from 1 species
AUAUUAUCUGUGCCCUUUUCUGUUGUGGAGGCUGCUGUUUUUAUUUGGUUUUUACUUUGUGUCCUUUCAUGGUUUGUUUUCUCGGUGGUUGUCUUGGUGGUUGUUUCCUUCUUUCUAAGCAGUAUUCGGGAUUGGGUCUGACACUUGGACUAGAUUUGGUGGCUCCUCUGCCACAAAGCCACACUCCCAGCCCAGCUCGGAGAAAUUGCACCUUACUCCAUCUGAAAACUAACCCACCCACGCAAUCUACUGGACCCACAUAGGAAGGACUUGGAAGUCCUGCUCCUGGGCAUCAACACCCAUAGCAAAGUGGCUGUGGACACCAGGUGUAAGAGGGACCUCAGCACAGGGGACUUCAUACCCUAUCAGAGCCACAGGUUGCUGACUAGAUGGGAGGAGAACUCACAGAGGGGACAACUCAUAUGCUCUGCUGUCUACACCACACCUGUUUGAACUACCAGAGAGGACCCCUCCACCAGGGACCCCCCCCCCACCCAACACCAUCUUGAGAGACCUAUAGAGAAACCAGGGCCCUCAGCUCCAACACAGUGUUCAUUGUGCCAAAUCCCACCCAUCGCAGUCAAAGAAGCCACAGGGAGAGUAGACUGUGAGGUUGGAUUGGAAUUAAACCCAAUACUACCCAGCCAACCAAUGUCCCAGGGCACACCAUUGGGAGGAGGAGGCAGCUAAGUAAGAAGGCCUUCACACAGAAGUGGAGGAGAAAUCUGUCACAACUGAUGCCCAGACGCAGUGUGGAAUCACGGGGACUAUGGCAAAACAGGCGCACAGCCCCCGUGAGACGUUCCUAAUGCUCUAGUCACUAACUCCAAAGGAUCAAAGUGGAUGGAAUGAACGCUGGGCAAAGACUUCUAAAGAAUGAGUUAAAAAACCUCAGUGAGUUCCAAGAGCGUACAGGUAAACGUCUGCACCAAGGAAGGGAGACAUUGCACGUCCAGAUGAGCAGCAGGUCCAUAAAGAGACAGAGAUCUUGAAAAAGAAUCACACAGAAAUCCUGGGAGUGAAAAGCUCAGUAAGUCAGAUGAAAACUUGGGCAGAAGAAAGAGAAUUGGGGAAAACAAAAAAGGCAAGUGAAUCAGGGAUUGAAGAGUAGACUGAGGAAUUAUCGUAUUGAGAGGGUAGUAAAGGAAGAGGAAAGAAAAUGAACAGAAUGCACCAGAUCUCUGGGGCCCUCUAGAAGACCAAACAUACACAUAAUUGGAAUAGAUGAGGGAGAGCAGCUACAUCCAGAGGAUGCAGAAUACACAUUAUUUUCAUUAGCACAUGAAACUUUUUCCAAAAUAGAUCAUGUAGUAGAUGACGGAGCAAGUAUCAACAAAUCUAAAAAAAGUUGACAUUGCGUUUUUGCAUCUUAUCAGAUCAUAGUAGAAUGAAAUUGGACACCAACAGCAAGAGGAAUUGUACAAGUUAUACAAACACAUGGAUAUUGAAUAAUACAGACUUUUGAACAGUCAGUCAGUCAUUGAAGAUAUGAGAGGGAAAUUUAAAAGUUUCUCAAAUUAAAUGAAAAUAGAAACACAACAUACCAGAAACUAUGUGAUACAGUGAAAGCAAUACUAAAAAGAAAACUUACGGUUAUGAGUGCCUACAUUUAAAAAAUGGAUCUCAACUUGCUUUUCAUCUUUCGCAGUCAAAGAAGCCACAGGGAGAGUGCGCUCUCAGUGUGUCUCAAGGUCUUAGAAAAACAUGGACAAAGCAAAUCCAAAAUCAGUAGAAAGAAAGAAAGAAAGAAUAAAGAUCAGGAUAGAAAUAAAUGAAAUAAAGGUGAAAAGAAUAAUACAAAUGAUCAAUGAAACAAAAGGUUGGUUCUUUGAAAAGAUAAAAAUGACAAACCCUUAGCUAAACUAACCAAAAGAAAGCAAAAAGCAGAAAACUUGGAAUGAAAUCACCAUUUGACCCAGUUAUUCCACUCCUCGGCAUAUACUCAAAGGACUUAAAAUCAGCAUGCUGCAGUGCCAUAACCACAUCAAUAUUUAUGGCAGCUGAAUCCACAGGAGCAAAGCUAUGGAGCCACCCUAGUUUCCCUUUAACAGAUGAAUGGAUAAAGAAAAUGUGGUAUAUAUACAUAAUGGAGUAUUACUCAGCCAUAAAAAAGAAUGAAAUUAUGGCAUUUGCUGGUAAAUGGAUGGAACUGGAGACUAUCAUGCUAAGUGAAAUAAAGCAGUCCAAAAAAACCAAAUGCCAAAUAUUCUCUCUAUACAGUUGCUAACAGAAUAACUGUGGGGGAGGGAAGAAUAGACGUUCACUGGAUUGGGCAAAGAGGAAUGAAGGGAAGGGAAGGAGUAUGAAUGAACCAAACAGAUCUUUCCUAUGUUCAUAUAUGAAUACACAAACAGUGUGACUCCACAACAUGUUCAAUCCCAAAUACUCCAUGUAGGUAUAAUACAUCAAAUACAUUCUACUGUUAUGUAUAACUAAAAAGGGCAAAUAAAAAUAUUUUUUUUUUAAAAAAGAGGAGCAAGGCAUCCCAAGUAAUUAAAAUGAGAACUGAAAAGGGGGAUAUUACAACAGAUACCUCUGAAAUUCAUAGAUAGGAUCACCAUGGAAUAUUUUGAAAAAAAAAUGUAUGACAAUUAACUUAAAAAUCUAGAAGAAAUGGAAAAUGUCUGGACACAUAUGACGUACCAAAAUUGAAACUAGAGGAUACUCUUAUCAGAUUUUGGUACUAGGAUGAUAGAUAAGAAUCUGAUAAGAGAGAGAAAGAGAGAGAGAAAUAAGUAUAAAAAUCUUCAGUGAAAUACAUGCAAGUUGAAUUCAGCAGCUUAUUAAGAAUAUCAUACACCAUGAUCAACUUGGUUUUAUUUCAGGAAUGCAAGGGUGGUGCAAUGCAUACAAAUUGAUGAAUAUAUUAUGGAACAUUAAUAGAAUCAAGGAUAAAAAUUGCAUUAUCAUCUCAGUAGAUGCAGAAAAAGACUGAUACAAUUCAAUAUAUCUUCAUGAUAAAAUUCCAGAAUAAAUUAGGUAUAGAAGG